ensembl:snRNA U6 U6 spliceosomal RNA
GUGUUCGCUUCGGCAGCACAUACACUAAAAAAAUUGGAACGAUACAGAGAAAAUUAGCAUGGCCCCUGCGCAAGGAUGACACGCAAAUUCGUGAAGCUUUCCGUAUUUUU